rnacentral:lncRNA from 1 species
CGCAGAUGCAGCUUGGAAUCCUUGUGGCUGUGGCUGUGAGGUAGGCGGGCAGCUGCAGCUCUGGUUCUACCCCUAGCCUGGGAACCUCCAUAGGCUGUGGGUGUGGCCCAAAAAAGACCAAAAAAAAAAAAAAAGAAGAAAAAGAAAUAGACCAGCCGGCUUUCAGGGAGCUUCCAGUCUGUUGGGAAGGACAGACCCCAAAGGGGCAGUGACUGGCAGCGAUGUUAUUAGAGGGAGGAGGGGGUGUUGGCCUUGGUCCCUGGGAAGGGCCCCCUCGGCUGAGAUUCAGCACUGAGUGUCCCGCCAGCAUCUUGCAGAAAUCAGCCAGGGGUCUCUGCGCCUCCAGCACUGGGGAGCAGGAUGGGAGCCGUAUUGUUUUCUGGGCCUCUGUCCUUAGCAACAUGCAUUCACCUGGCGCCGUUAGUGCAUUCUUCUUCCAAACAAACAGCUUUCAGGAAGAGUUAAUAAAUUAAUCUUCUGGGAACAGAAGCUGCCGAAGCGCCAGCGAGGCCUUCAGCAGCCUGGCCGGCUGCGGGCUUGGCUCGUAGGGUCCAACCCGCAUUGAUGGUGGUGUGUGGGCGCUGAUGAGGUUUGGGCAGCUGGCUCCUGGCCUCAAACACCGGGCCCUCCGUGUGGCUCGGUUCUGGAAGGGGAAGGACAGCCAGUGUGAAGCUGGGCCCCAUCACAGCCCCGAGAGGAGACAAGCUUAUUUCAGAGAUGAGGAAUCUGACACCCAGGUUAAGACUGAGUCUGAGCUACCUUCUGUGGAGGCCAGGGUUGUGGGUUCUGCUGCUUCUUUACCAUUUAGGAGGCCUUCCUCCCCCCUUUUUUUUGCUUUUGAUGCACCUGUGGCAUAUGGAGGUUCCCAGGCUAGAGGUUGAAUCAGAGCUGUGGCCGCCGGCCACAGCCACAGUCACAGACACAGCUUGGAUCUGGCGUUGCUGUGGCUGUGGUGUAGGCUGGCAGCCACAGCUCCAAUUUGACCCUUAGCCUGGGACCUUCCGUGUGCUGCAGGUGUGGCCGUUAAAAGAACCCCCCCCACGGAAAAAGAAUGGUCACCCUUACAAUUCGUGGGGCUCCGGGUCCGUCAGAUGUGGUAGAGCCUGUUUCUCAAGCGCUUGCAUGAUGACUGGUGGUGUGGCACUUGCUUCGGACAUGUCUGCUAAAUUCAAUCCUCAACAAAAUCAAAUCCACCCAUUUCUGAUGCGAAACCUCAGCUCCUCUCCAGCCAAGCCGCUGGUCGGUGGCAGAGUUUCCGGCUCCAAGGGGUUGGGGGGCCCUUGCGAGGGAGAGAGGCUCUCAGACCUUGUCUCUGUUCCCUGGUGCCCACCUCAGACGGGCUGAUGGUGUGGGUCUUUGGCCCUUCCCUGUGCCUCUGGAACGAGACCACUUUCUUUCUUCUAGUGGUCACCAAGCUGCCGCCUGCGAGUUUUCUGGACACUUGCGGCUGAACUGUGUUCCGAUCGAAAGAAACGCAAUUACUCUCGGAGACUCGAGGGCAAUUGUGAACACUUGCAGCCUUGCCUUCUUGCUCGAUACUCGCUUGGAGGGGCUCUCCUGAGAGGGCUGGAAAGCCAUCUCUGGCUGGAGAGCGAUCUGGACAGCCUCGGCUCUGUGCCGGGGAUGCACCGGCAGCUCUUCGCCUCUCUCAGGGCGGGGCAGAGUUAUUUUCACUCAGGCGUGGAUGGGGGACUUGACUCAGGACAGAGGUGACAUCCCGCCUCUUUCAGGUGCGAGCCAAUUUGUCGAAAGGUAGCAGAGGGGAUUGUUAGGGAUGCCAGGCAGUUUGGAGUGUCCUCCAGGGAGAGAACCUGAAGGGGGGAGGCGCCUUCAGAUGUUCCGCGCCCUUUUGCAAAGCGCUGGGAGGGUCAGCAGUUCCUACCCUGAGAAUCUCAUCAAAGAGCUAAGUGAUGCCCAGAGGGAUGCCUAGUUCUCCCAGAAUGCUGAGUCCCAAGCUUUCUUCUUGUUGAAAUAGGCGGCGCGGGGCGGGGUGCCUCUCACCCCCAUCUUAAGGUGCAGAUAGAAAGAAUGCUAAGCACACUCGUGCUGUCUUUGUGCCCAAGCUGGGUGAGGGGAGGGGACCCAAGGAGGGUGGCCCAGGGAGGGAGAGGGAAGAGACCUGGGGGCAGCGGUCUGGGCCCGGUGGUGGUCAUUCCCUCCCCAGCGAUGGACAUGGGCCCUCUGAGCCUCCCCCUCGCUGGCUCUCUGCGAGCGUUUCUUCCAUCACAGUGGCGUUUCUUCUGCCCCCUCACCCAGCCCUCCUGACUCUGCACCACCCACCUGGGCCCAAGGGAGGUGGAUGGAAAGGUCCUUCCAUGGCUCCCUUACUUUCAUCUCUAAUGGGGAGCCUUGGAUUUGGAGUUGGCGGCCCGGGGGCGGGGGUUCUAGCUGCUCCCUGUGGACCCCAGAGCUCAGCCAGACAGGCUGGGACAAGGGGGCCAGGCGCCUCUGACUGCAGCUUCUGCACCGGCCGUGUGCUUGUUGAGCUCGUGCCCAUGGCUCCCAGGCCUGAUCUCUCAGUUAUUACUGCGCACAGCCAAGCAGACAGCAGCGGUAAUUAUCAGCACUUUGAGAGCUGCCAUUCGCCUCGCUCGGCAAGGUGACUCAGAACAUUAGAUCAGAAUUAGAGAAGGAGAAAAAAACGAUCCAGCGAAGCCCCCCCGACCCCACCCCACCCUUGUGUGAUCUCCGGCUCUCAAGCCCACCGAAGCACUCACUUUGGAGACAGAGCUCUGUCACACUGGUGUUCACUCUGCCCUUUCUCCUGGAUGAGGCACGUAGGGUUCCCUGCAGUGGAAGGGGCUGCCUUGUCAUCUGGCUCACGCCUGCACCUCUGGGAGCCAUCAGGUUUGUGCUGAAGGAGCCCUGGGGAGAGGCGGCAAGCUGGAGAGGGAGACGUGGUCACCGGAGGCAAGGCGGGAGCCCUGCUGUUGACUCUUCUGAUUUGUCUAUUGUGUUGACCUGGGAUGCUUUGCUCUAGUUUCAAAUUUUAAGCUCCAUGAGGGUAGAACAGGCUCGGUCUGGCUCACAGCUGCACCUCCAGAACCUGGAGCUGAGCCCAGGUAGUGCUUGUGGGAGCAGGAUUCGGGACUGGCUCCAGUGUGCCAGAGGCAGGGAGCCCCUUGCCAGCAACUACUGCCCCCCCCCGGGGGGGGGUAGGAGGCAAACACACUGGGGCUGUCUGCUGGGGUGUCCUCUGCACUUUCUGCUCAGGGAUUGGCCUGCAGAGCCUGACUAAGGAUGGAAAAUUUUAUUCUUGCUUCAGGAAAGCGCAAGAAAAAUAUUUGUUCCCAUCAUCAAAGUGGAAAUUUAAGUCAAUGACAAUGGAAACUAUUUCUGGCCAUUCACAGACUAGGAAGAGAAGGGAGUGGGUCGAUUCAAAACAGGGUGGAAGAAUUCAGGCACUGAAAACUGUAAAUUUUAGGGGUGAAAUAACAGCACAGAAAUAAAAACUCACCAAGGGAACAUAAACCAGCCCUUUUGUCAAGCAGACAGGGCAAACCCCGUCCUAUUUCCUGGUUUGAGCUGGGCUGCAGAGGUGAGGGGCAGCAGGGGGAACUUCUAAGGGAGAAGCGCUGGGGUUUCCUCCCCCUCCUGCACACGACUUGUUGACAUCAGGCAGCUUUUCAGGGCGUCCGGUCACCCAUGCACGCCUGUCUCCUUCAUCCCCACCCUCUGAAAACCCUAUUUUGGCGGAGUCUCUGGGGUAGAUGGACACCAGAGGGUUUCCAGGUGAAAAUGCGAGGGGCGCCCAGCAGUGAGCCAAAGCUUGCCUGGGAGUUGGGUGUUUUGUGGGUUCAAAUCGGGCUGGGAAGGAAGCAGCUGACUAGAAUAAUCUGGAGGGGGGCAGGGGAGAUAGAUGAAGUAAGAUGGACCCUGCAUUGGGGGUGAUUGGUCUGGGGUGCUGGCUCCUAUAGGGUUCAUUUUAUGACUCUGUUUAAUUUGGCUAAUGUUCAUCCAUGUCCAUAAUCAAAAGUCACAAAAUACAAGAAGCAGCUGACCCCCCGUUUCCCUCCUUGGGCACCAUCCCCUAGUGGAGGUCUCUUUCCUCUUUUGUUCUAUGUAGACUGACUCUCCCAAGACCCGGGUCCCAAAUCCUGCAGGAAUGUGGAAAGGAAAAAAUGUGAGACAGACUUUUAUCAGGGUUUGCAUUGAGCGCUUUAGUUUUUUCCAUGGCCUUUUGGAGAUCCACUUCUGAGAAGCAGCGAGGGUUUUCCCUGUUCCCAAGGUACACGUCCAGGAACAUACUGAGGCCAGCUGGACACCUGGUGGGGGCUCCCAAGUCCACGUUCCCAGCUCCACUGGGGGCCUCUGGUACUGCCCCCCUCGGGCCAUGUCCCCUCCUCUGGUGGGUGCCCCUUCCUCAAUGGUAGUGCCUGGGUUCGGGCUCAGAGGGGCUGCCGUGCCUGCAGGAGCGGGGGCUGUGCUGCCCCCACUGCCUGGAGGGGCCGUUGUUCAAGCCAGCACUUUGCAGCCUCCACAGGAGGGGUUCCACAUUGCAUAGGCGGCCAGAACAGGACGGGCUGGGCGAACCUUUUUGCCCAUGUUGUGCAGAGAGGCCUUCUGCCUGGACCCUGGGGUGGCUGUAGCAUAAACGCUCGCGCAUGCGAAGGGGUCGUCUUUGAAUUCCUGUGUGAAUCCAUCAUGUAUUCACGGCCCCCAUUUGUUCCUGCCCUACAAGGAGCUCUCUUCCCAACCUCGUUCUUGUAUAUGAUUUUCUUUUUGGUGGCGGCCCCAUUGACCAGGUAAUUAUUUGGCAGCUGAAUCGAGGCAGCCUUCUCCUUGCUCGCUUCCGCUCUCUCCUCUAGGUCACAGCUCAUGGGCACAGUACAGAGGUCAGGUGCGUACGGCCUGAGUCUGUCCUGGCCCCGCCGACUCAGAACGCAAGUCUGAGAAGACCUAGCAGUGGUCACAGACCCGGCUGCGGUGGCGUCCCCCUCUUUCACCGUCUCCAUUGCCCGAGUUGGCCUCAUGCCCAUUUCUUCCCUGCCAUUGGCACUCUCUCCCAGUGGGGCACCUCCUCAGCCUCUCUUCCUGUCCCUUUACCAGGUGGCCACCGAGGAGCAUUUUAUGAAGAUGCAAAUCUGGAGGCCGUGAUGGAGGAUAAU